AUUCAUUAUUCACUGUGGUAGCCACUGGCCACAUGUGACUUUUGAGCACUUGUGACUAGUCUGAAUUGAAAUGUGUAGAGAUAUCUGAAGAGAUUAUAGGAUCACCCAUCCCAGAACCUAGGCAACGCUCAAGACUUCUAAGAUCUCAAUCAGAAAGCUCGGAUGAAGUUACAGAAUUAGACCUUUCACAUGGGAAAAAAGAUGCUUUUGUUUUGGAGAUUGAUGACACAGAUGCCAUGGAAGAUGUCCAUUCUCUACUUACUGAUGUUCCUCCUCCUUCAGGCUUUUAUAGUUGUAAUACAGAAAUUAUGCCCGGUAUAAAUAAUUGGACAUCUGAAAUACAGAUGUUCACUUCAGUAAGAGUAAUCAGAUUAAGCAGCCUCAACCUGACUAAUCAAGCUCUCAAUAAGAACUUUAAUGAUCUCUGUGAAAAUUUGCUCAAGAGCCUGUACUUUAAACUACGAUCUAUGAUCCCCUGCUGCCUCUGCCAUGUAAAUUUUACAGUAUCUCUGCCUGAAGAUGAAUUAAUUCAGGUUACAGUCACGGCA
rnacentral:sRNA from 1 species